CCACGACAUGUGGGAGACAGAGUUAUUACUCAAAGCAAUCUCACUGAAGGCUUGGAGGUAACAACUAAUGUUGGAAUUAUGAAAAGCUCUUCUCUACUUUUAACAAAGCUUAGUCACAAACAGUUCCCCAGUUGAUGAGAAAAACUAAAACAACAGAACAAUUGAAAGUCCGAAUCUGCAAGUUCAUCUCUGAGAACCGAAUUUUACAGCCACUCCAGAUUUGUACUCCAAAUGGAUAGUUUGAUUGUAGAAAUCACUUCCCUUCAGU
rnacentral:lncRNA from 10 species